UAGGGAAUCUUCCGCAAUGGACGAAAGUCUGACGGAGCAACGCCGCGUGAGCGAAGAAGGCCUUCGGGUCGUAAAGCUCUGUUGUUAGGGAAGAACGAGUACGAGAGUAACUGCUCGUACCUUGACGGUACCUAACCAGAAAGCCACGGCUAACUACGUGCCAGCAGCCGCGGUAAUACGUAGGUGGCAAGCGUUGUCCGGAAUUAUUGGGCGUAAAGCGCGCGCAGGCGGUCCUUUAAGUCUGAUGUGAAAGCCCACGGCUCAACCGUGGAGGGUCAUUGGAAACUGGGGGACUUGAGUGCAGAAGAGGAGAGUGGAAUUCCACGUGUAGCGGUGAAAUGCGUAGAGAUGUGGAGGAACACCAGUGGCGAAGGCGACUCUCUGGUCUGUAACUGACGCUGAGGCGCGAAAGCGUGGGGAGCAAACAGGAUUAGAUACCCUGGUAGUCCACGCCGUAAACGAUGAGUGCUAAGUGUUAG
rnacentral:rRNA from 1 species